rnacentral:rRNA from 1 species
GACGAACGCUGGCGGCGUGCUUAACACAUGCAAGUCGAACGGAAAGGCCUCUUUGGGGGUAUUCGAGUGGCGAACGGGUGAGUAACACGCGAGUAACCUGCCCUCGACUUCGGGAUAACUUCAGGAAACUGGGGCUAAUACCGGAUAGGAAUCUUUUCCGCAGGGUGGGGGUUGGAAAGCUUCGGCGGCUUUGGAUGGACUCGCGGCUUCUUAGCUUGUUGGUGGGGUAGUGGUUUACCAAGGCUUUGACGGGUAGCCGGCCUGGGAGGGCGAACGGCCACAUUGGGACUGAGAUACGGCCCAGACUCCUACGGGAGGCAGCAGUGGGGAAUAUUGGACAAUGGGCGGAAACCGGAUGCAGCAGCGCCGCGUGCGGGAUGACGGGCUUCGGGUUGUAAAACGCUUUCAGCAGGGGAGAAGCUUGUGGUGACGGUACCUGCAGAAGAAGCACCGGCUAACUACGUG